rnacentral:rRNA from 1 species
GCAUAUCAAUAAGCGGAGGAAAAGAAACCAACAGGGAUUGCCCUAGUAACGGCGAGUGAAGCGGCAACAGCUCAAAUUUGAAAUCUGGCUCUUUCAGAGUCCGAGUUGUAAUUUGCAGAGGGCGCUUUGGCUUUGGCAGCGGUCCAAGUUCCUUGGAACAGGACGUCACAGAGGGUGAGAAUCCCGUACGUGGUCGCUAGCUAUUGCCGUGUAAAGCCCCUUCGACGAGUCGAGUUGUUUGGGAAUGCAGCUCUAAAUGGGAGGUAAAUUUCUUCUAAAGCUAAAUAUUGGCCAGAGACCGAUAGCGCACAAGUAGAGUGAUCGAAAGAUGAAAAGCACUUUGGAAAGAGAGUCAAACAGCACGUGAAAUUGUUGAAAGGGAAGCGCUUGCAGCCAGACUUGCUUGCAGUUGCUCAUCCGGGCUUUUGCCCGGUGCACUCUUCUGCAGGCAGGCCAGCAUCAGUUUGGGCGGUGGGAUAAAGGUCUCUGACACGUUCCUUCCUUCGGGUUGGCCAUAUAGGGGAGACGUCAUACCACCAGCCUGGACUGAGGUCCGCGCAUCUGCUAGGAUGCUGGCGUAAUGGCUGUAAGCGGCCCGUCUUGAAACACGGACCAAGGAGUCUAACAUCUAUGCGAGUGUUUGGGUGUCAAGCCCGAGCGCGUAAUGAAAGUGAACGGAGGUGGGAACCCGCAAGGGCGCACCAUCGACCGAUCCUGAAGUUUACGGAAGGAUUUGAGUAAGAGCAUGGCUGUUGGGACCCGAAAGAUGGUGAACUAUGCUUGAAUAGGGUGAAGCCAGAGGAAACUCUGGUGGAGGCUCGCAGCGGUUCUGACGUGCAAAUCGAUCGUCAAAUUUGGGCAUAGGGGCGAAAGACUAAUCGAACUAUCUAGUAGCUGGUCCCUGCCGA